UACGUAGGGAGCAAGCGUUGUUCGGAUUUACUGGGCGUAAAGGGCGCGUAGGCGGCGCGACAAGUCACUUGUGAAAUCUCCGGGCUUAACUCGGAACGGCCAAGUGAAACUGUCAAGCUAGAGUGCAGAAGGGGCAAUCGGAAUUCUUGGUGUAGCGGUGAAAUGCGUAGAUAUCAAGAGGAACACCUGAGGUGAAGACGGGUUGCUGGGCUGACACUGACGCUGAGGCGCGAAAGCCAGGGGAGCAAACGGG
rnacentral:rRNA from 1 species